rnacentral:misc_RNA from 1 species
CCGCCGGCUCGUUUCUUCUCCCGCCGGGGCCUGACGAUCGAGGCCUCCGGCGUGAGAGCUUCGGUUAUUGGUUAGGUUAAGGUCGUCGCUCGCCAUUUUGAAGGGUACUACGUUACUCCAGGCGCCAGUGAGCGGAUUCGAUCUUCGAAGCGCUUCUAAAGUUCACGAUGUCGACGCCGAAGCACAUGGUUGCCCGCUGUUCCUUGACGUCGCCCGCCACCGUCCGCGGUUUCGUCCUUCUCAAGUCGUUCGCCAAUGAGAUCGACGUCUCGCCUUCGUAUAAUGACAUGGAGCAGGAGUUUCCACGGGUCAGCUCCCAGGUUCCCUUGUCCCCGCGGGGAGGCGAGGACGAGGAGCGGGGCUCGGACGGCGAGUACGUCGAACGCGGCACUUGGACCGGCCGCUUCGACUUCAUACUCUCCCUGCUGGGGUACUCGGUCGGCCUCGGAAACGUCUGGAGGUUUCCAUACCUCGUCUACAGCAACGGAGGCGGGGCCUUCCUGAUCCCGUUCUUUGUGAUGAUGAUCCUUGCGGGACUUCCGCUCAUGUUCAUGGAGCUGUCCUUCGGGCAGUACUCUAGUCUGGGGCCCAUCGCCAUCUUUGAGCGCUUCUGCCCUCUCUUCCAUGGUCUAGGCUACGGUAUGGUGAUUGUGUCCGGCAUCGUUAUGCUCUACUACAACCUGAUCAUCGCCUGGACGCUGUUCUAUAUGUUCGCAUCCUGGUCCAAAACGCUGCCUUGGGAAAAGUGCGACCCGGAUUGGUGCACUCCAGCUUGUUAUCAGUACGAGGACGCCGACGCGUGCUUCAGGAUCAACGGAUCCUACUACAACCAGACCUGCUUCAACCAAAGUAUGGCCCAAGAACUGAAUAUAUCAGCGCUUGUAAAGAACAUGGCAAAGCGAACGCCAUCGGCUGAAUACUUCAGGUUCUUCGUGCUCGGCGAGUCUCCCAGUAUACGAGAAACGGGCGAGAUACGGUGGCCUUUGGCCUUGUGCUUGCUACUUGCCUGGAUCAUUGUCUUCCUAUGCCUCUGCAAAGGCGUCCAGUCCUCGGGAAAAGUGGUGUACUUUACUGCCCUCUUUCCUUACGUGGUGCUGGUGAUAUUGUUUUUCCGCGGUGUUACCUUGCCCGGUGCCUAUGAGGGAAUCAUGUUCUACGUCACGCCCAACUGGAGGCUACUACUUACCCCGCAGGUCUGGGGAGAUGCGGCGGUGCAGAUAUUUUUCGCUCUGAGUCCAGCCUGGGGCGGACUCAUCACACUGUCGUCUUACAACAAGUUUCAUAACGACUGUUACAAGGACUCCCUGAUUGUGUCCGUGAGCAACGUGCUCACGAGCAUUUUUGCCGGCUUCGUGAUCUUCUCGGUGAUCGGGUACCUGGCGCACGAGCUGAACGUCGAAGUGGAGCACGUCGUGGACCAGGGCGCCGGCCUCGCCUUCAUCGUCUACCCCGAAGUUGUGGCCCGACUGCCGGUCGCGCCCCUCUGGGCCUUCCUCUUCUUCUUCAUGCUGCUCACACUCGGCCUCGACAGUCAGUUUGCUCUUCUAGAGACCGUGUCAACAGCAAUCUUUGACCGAUUUCCGAGCCUUCGAGAAAAGAAGACACUUGUGGUUCUCGCAAUAUCAGUCUUUGGCUACUUCGGAGGUCUAAUAUUCACGACACGGGCUGGAGUCCACUGGCUGGAGCUAUUCGACAAGUACGCCGCAAGUCUGUCCGUGCUAGUCAUUGCCAUUGGAGAGUGCACACUUAUCGCCUGGCACUAUGGCGCGGAGAAAUUCCUCUGCGACAUCGAGAAAAUGAUCGGAUCUCGCUCCUACACAUGGACACUGUUCUGGACCAUCAUGUGGAAAUACUUCACACCAGCCACGUUAGUGUUCAUCCUGAUCUUCAACAUCAUGGAACACUCUCAAGCGAAAGGCAAGGACUACCCACCUUGGGCCAUCGGCGUCGGCUGGACCAUCGUGUUCAUACCGUUAGUCACCAUUGUCGUCCUCAUGAUCAUCAAGCUCUGCUCGGUGCCUAAAGGCAGCCUGGGACACCGUGUGGCCGUCACCAUGAGGCCCACCGAGGGCUGGGGGCCGGCGCAGACGCAGCAGUCACUGAGGCCCGACGUCACGGAUGAGAAUGGUAGCAUGAACGGCGGUAUCGGGCGCGAGAACUCCUUCGACAACCCCUCCUUCAACGUGACUUACACGUUCGAGACGACUAUCUGAUGACUGCAGGACCUCUGCACCUCCCUGCGAAGCAAGAGCAGGGCUAACGACUGAGUCCGAGCCGCCUCCAGGGCGGCUAACCGGACACAGCGGCCGAGGUGCAGACGGGCGCAUCCGCGCUUCAAUCAAAGCCGAUGACUGAGGAGCAUCGAGUUGGACACGGUCCCUACCCAACUCUCCACUAUGGUUCAACUUGAGAACUCGUGUGGACACUCGGUGCCAGGUGACACGGGUGCGGCGCCAGGGUUUGACGUUUACGGGAACGCCGCUUAAGGUUCAGGAUGUGAUGAAGCAGCAUGUUUCUUCGCGAACGCUUUAUUUUUGUUAGUGA